CCCCCGGGCAUACACAGGUAAGUCGUAAGUCGCCAGUUGUGAGCCGUCUACAGGGGACGUAUAUCACAGUACAAUGUAUCAGGCUACAAGCUUCAUUGUUGUGGUCGUGUUGCUGACACUCCGUGUGUUACAUACCGAGGGCCAGUUCCCUAGAAGCAAUUGGGCCCAGCCGUAUCAACGAGUAUAUGAUGACGAUGCCGACGACUUGGGGUUUUCUUAUUCUUCUCUCGGAUUAUGUCUGAUAAGUCCUGUCGUGGCGUUUAAACUUGGAGUGAUUCGAGGUGAGGAGGACAACGAGAAUGACGGUGUCAUAGCAUACAGUGUGCGGGAGUGCGCUUUAAGGGCGGUUGUUUGUGGAGGCAUCACCAACACGGACUGCAGCUCAUGUCUACAAUUGGAAACCACCGCCUGUACAUCAAUCAAUGGCUGUACGGCGUCGGUAGGCUUCUGUACAUUUAUGUGUCCAUGAAUAUGGCCAUAGACAUGUUCAGUGCAUAGCCUGUAUAUUUAGAUGCAUUUUUGAUGUUAAAUCAAUAUACGGUUAAUUAUUCUCUGGAAAAUAAAAUCUAAUUCUUA